rnacentral:tRNA from 1 species
GAAGUACUAGUAAAAUAUUACAUGGCCUUGUCAAGGCUAAAUUACAGGCGAAACUCCUGUGUACCUCC